UCCCCUGGCACUGCGAAGGACAAGCUCCUGCCCUGACUGGCCUGGCCCUGCUUUGGGCAGCUCUCCCCACUUUGUACUCUUUUGUGCAGGCUUAAGGAGUGUCGGGUCCUUAGAGAGAGAGAGGGGGCAGCACCUGGACUGCUCCCUCUCAGCCCCUGCUAGCAGCUAAUUGCUGACUGCCUCCCGGCUGGGGGAAUUUCAGCAUUUUUUAGCUCUCCCCUACUGUUGUGAGGGCAGGAAGAAGUGUUCAAGCCAUUUCUGAGUUUAGAGGCUCUGUGACUCAUCUUGGACUUCUGUGGUGUGGAUCUCUAUUACUGGACAUUGCUGGCAACAUCACAGGCCGCUCCUGCAGAAAGAAUCCAGCAGGGGAUCUUGGCUCAGUGCCUCUCUCACAUCCGUUGCCAGUGAAACUGCUUCGGCAUUCAGUGUUUCAAAGUGCUGCUCAAUGUUGGACUGGAGGUGACUUUUUACCGCGGAGACACAAGCAGGAAUAUGACACCUCCACAAAUCUUGUUGAAUUUUGCACCUAUUCCCUUCUUUGAGAUUGAGAAUGCCAUGAGGAUAUUAAUGUGUAAAAGUGUCUGUUUCAAAUCGGCUAUAGAGAGCUCUCUAUCUUGCAGAAUUUAACCCUCUUGCACCACAGAUCUCCUCUCUUGAACUGUACAGAAAUGCACUGAAAUAAUGAUACAUUUUUUCACCCAUACAUGUGUCCUGUAAUGUGCAUAUGCAAGUCUUCUGCAUGGCAGAAUCUUUAUGAUUGAUUUCUCUUUAUGAAUGCUUUUAUAGUGAUACUGUGGAGAAAACUAGAAUAAGAAAUAUUUUCCAAUUCCAGUUGGAAAAUUUUUGGUCAACUGCUUUGAUGCUGAAUAUCAUCAUGUCAUUACUGCUUAAAUGCUUCUAUACAUAUUUGCACCAAGUAAGGAUCUGAUGUUUUCUGUUAGAUUUGAAAGAUAAGGAAAUAACAAAUUAUACUUAAGAAAUUGCUAACAGGCAAUGCAUAUAUCCUCCAGCAUGUCAUUUUCUUCCUUGGUUAAGUUUCUGUUGAAAACUAUGGUUAUUGUGAUCUGUGCUAGAUUGUAUGGUCCUGCUCUGGUGGCGGUGGGGGGGUUGACUCAAUGAUCUUGGGUCACUUCCAACCCUUAUUAUCCUGUGAUACGAAAAUGCCAGAUAAAAUACUGCAAAAAUACUGCUAUCUUACUUAUUAGUAGUAUUAGAGAUGUUGAUGCUGUGGAGACGUUUUCACUUUCCAGAAACAUGUUCUGGGAAAAUAGGAGGUCAAGAUGUUGGCUUGACAUUACUGAACUGUAACAUAACUGCAGUUAUACUGGUAUAUUGAAGCCACUCAGUUAUGGAGUUUUUGGUGAUGUGCUGCUCAAACAUGAAAAUUUUUAAUGAGGUUAAAUGUGCAGCCUAUGAAUAUUUUGGAUUAAGAGAGAAGAAUAAGUUUACUACAGUACUUACCAUAAUACUUAUAGCUGGUAAACCAAUAAAAUUUUAAUGGGCUAUGUUAGGAGUGAAGUGAAAAUCAAGUAGCUAAUGAGAAUUUAACUCUGGAGUAUAAACCAGUACAGUUACAUUAUACACUAGAAAGUGAAUUUACAAAAACAAAGCAUUUGGGUACUAUUUGAUCUGUUUGAAAAUGAAAACACCAGUACUGAAAGCCCCAGUGAAUUCUUGGGUUGUAUUUAACCAUGCAGUUAACAUAAGAAGUCACAGUCUCUGAUCUAUGACUCCCUAUCAUCUUAUUGAUUACAAAUGACACCUGAAUACGUUUGCUUCUGUGCCAUGUUAAGUAGACCAAAAUCAGUAUUUCACAUAGUGAUGUGACUUCUCUUGAGCUCUAUGCAGAUAUCGUGGGAGAUGUCUAGUGCAUCUGCAGCUCAGGAUCCUGCUUGAAACUUGUGUUGGCUCCCUGCCAGCCCACAAGCCUUGAAUAAACAGGGGACUCAUUGCAUGAA